rnacentral:rRNA from 1 species
CCCGUGAAGAUGCGGGGUUCCCGCGGUCAGACGGAAAGACCCUAUGAACCUUUACUGCAGCUUCGCCUUGGCGUUAGCAGCAACAUGUGUAGGAUAGGUGGGAGGCUAUGAAACCGGGGCGCCAGCUCUGGUGGAGCCAACCUUGAAAUACCACCCUGGUUUGUUUGAGGUUCUAACCUUGGUCCGUUAUCCGGAUCGGGGACAGUGCAUGGUAGGCAGUUUGACUGGGGCGGUCUCCUCCCAAAGCGUAACGGAGGAGUUCGAAGGUACGCUAGAUACGGUCGGACAUCGUGUUGAUAGUGCAAUGGCAUAAGCGUGCUUAACUGCGAGACUGACAAGUCGAGCAGAGACGAAAGUCGG